UGUUAAAAAUUUCAUCCAUUUUAUUGUAACUAACAUGACUAACAGAAUAACUAAACAGUGAUAAGUAGCGUGCCAUGUGUAUCUUGUGCUGGCAUACAAGGACCAGCUUUAACUGCAGAAAUGGAUGGAAUUUUUAAUA
rfam:Gossypium hirsutum cultivar TM-1 unplaced genomic scaffold scaffold1609.1, whole genome shotgun sequence